CCCUUAGAUGUUCUGGGCCGCACGCGCGCUACACUGAUGCAUUCAACGAGUUUCUUCCUGGUCCGAGAGGAAUGGGUAACCUUUUGAAAGUGCAUCGUGAUAGGGAUAGACUAUUGCAAUUAUUGGUCUUCAACGAGGAAUUCCUAGUAGACGUAGUUCAUCAGACUGCAUCGAUUACGUCCCUGCCCUUUGUACACACCGCCCGUCGCUCCUACCGAUUGAAUGCUCAGGUGAGCCAUUCGGACUUUCAUCAUGCUGGUUACCAGUUUUGAUGAAGGAAAGUCUUGCGAACCUUAUCAUUUAGAGGAAGGAGAAGUCGUAACA
rnacentral:rRNA from 1 species